rnacentral:rRNA from 1 species
GAUGAACGCUGGCGGCGUGCUUAAUACAUGUAAGUCGAACGAAGAUGUUUAGCAAUAGGCAUCUGAGUGGCGAACGGGUGCGUAACGCGUGGGUGACCUGCCCCGAAGAGUGGGAUACCAGUUCGAAAGGGCUGUUAAUACCACAUGAGCUCAUAGGGAUUAGAAGCCUAUGAGGAAAGGGUGAGCAUUCGCAAGAAUGCGAAUCGCUUCGGGAGGGACCUGCGUCCCAUCAGCUAGUUGGUAGGGUAACGGCCUACCAAGGCGGCGACGGGUAGGGGGCCUGAGAGGGUGGCCCCCCCACACUGGCACUGAAACACGGGCCAGACACCUACGGGUGGCAGCAGUAGGGAAUAUUGCACAAUGGGCGCAAGCCUGAUGCAGCAACGCCGCGUGCGCGAUGAAGGCCUUCGGGUCGUAAAGCGCUUUUCGGGGAGAUGAGGAAGGACAGUAUCCCCGGAAUAAGUCUCGGCUAACUACGUG